rnacentral:lncRNA from 1 species
AUGCCAACAGUAUGUACAUUUGCAAAAAGUAGAACCAACAAUUUGGACGACUACUCUAUCUUCCAGUUCCAAGAAAUAGGGCAAUUUAUAGCCCCCUAUCACCAAGGCCAUUUCUUUUGGAGGAGGACGACGAGCGGACGACAAAGCCUUGCCUCGCUGCUCGCCGCUACCGCGCCCGACUGCCGCCACCCCGUUGGUGAAGAGGCGGCGCUGGCGGUUGCGGACGGUGACGGCGCGGCCCUCGGCGAGGACGUGGGGGAGGUAGGCGUUCUCGACAAGUGCGUGGUGGCGGUGGUGGAAGGUGGCGCCGCGGAAGUCGUCGGCGACAACCUCGUGGUCGUCGACGGCGAGGGCCAAGCGGUCGGCACCCUCGGCGAGGUCUUGACGGCCACCUCGCUGCUCGCCGCCACGCCCGGCCACCGUCGUGACUGCCACCGCGCCCGACCGCCGCCUCGCCCCGGCGGCCGCCUCGUCCCGGCGGCCGCCUCGCCCGGCUCGCCCGGUCGCCGCCUCGCCCAGCCGCCGCCUCGUCCCAGCAGCCGCCUUGCCCAGGCCGCCGCCUCGCCUAGGCCGCCGCCUCGCCCUUCCGCUGCCUCUACCGACCGCCGCCACCUCGCCCCAGCCGGUUGAGGGAGUUGUU